CCCGCCCCGCGGCCGCCCACCAACUUGGUGGGGCCCCGGCGGGGCCCUCGGGCCCUCCCGCCCGGCCGGCGCCAGACGUGCGCCGCGCAGCCCCCGGAGCCCCGCGGGCAAAGUUGGCGGGGCUCCCCCGGCCCCCGGCCGGCGCCUCGCUCAGGCCCCGGGCUGCGACCCCAGUCCCUGCGCGCGACCCCGGCUCGACCCCUGGACCCGGGCCAGGACCCCCGCCCCCGGCCCCGCCCGCGACCACUCACCUGUCCGCGGAGGAGGGCGUGCCCGCCGGCUGGCCCGGGCCGGAGCCCGGGGUGGGGCCGGGAUGGGGGGGGAGCGGGUGACGACGGGGCGAUCGAGGCGGCGACAGAGCCUGAGGCGACCGAGUCUGAGGCGACUGAGGCGGCGGGAGCUGCUCCUCGCGCUCCAGCCGAGGCGCUGCGCGCGGCGCGGGCCCACCCCCUCCGAGCUGCUGACCAAUCCCCCGCCGCCCGCCGCCGCUGGCCCCGCCCCCCGCCCAAGGACUGGGCCUCGCGAAAGCGGGCGCGGCGGGCCAAUCGAAAGGAGGAACGGCGACGGAUGAGGCCAAUCGGAACCCGGGAAGCUCUACGGAAAGAAACCAAUGAGCGUCGCGGGGGGUGGGAGGGAGGUGGGGAAGCAGGACCAAUGGUGAUGGGGGCGUGACGGAAAUUAGGGCGGGGUCUUGGGCUUCCGAGUCACUGGUCGUGGGCGGGGCCGCGAGCCUGUCACUGGGCAGGGGCGGUGCCAGACUUGAGGCAGCGCCCAGGGUGGGGCGGGGCCAUAAGUGAAAGGGGCGGGGUCUCGGGCGAAAGGGUCACUGGCUGGGGCGGGGGCAGGGGCGGGAACCACAAGUGGGCGGGUCCUAGAACUGGGGCGAGGCCACAAAUGGGGCAGGGUCUCGGAGGCGCUGGGCAGGGGUCCUGUAGCAGUCUACAUAGCGGGCAGUCUUCCGGCCUGCGGGGCCUGGUCCUGAGACCCCGCCCCUCUCGGGCCGCCGGCCUUGCCCAAGUCGCCCCGCCCCGGGCGAGCCUGCCCAGCACCUGUCCCCGCCCCUCAGCAGGUGCCCGGCCUUCCUGCCGGCCUUGGAAUCCAUGUGCCACUCUGCGGGUCCCGACGCCCCGGACGCGGCUGCGCUUCUGCCUCGACGUUCGCAGGCGAGGCAAUCAAGGCGGCUCCUCUCGUAACCCCCUGGCUGAAGGAGCAGCUCCUAACCCGUCACGGGCCACGUCCCUGGCCCGUGACUGGGACGGGGGUGGGAGGAGGUGA
ensembl:lncRNA